UGCUUGUCAAUUUGUUUCUUCUGCUGGAGCAACAACGUGGAGAGUGCAGCAGUCAAGACUCCAUCAACAGCUCCUCUGGUACUGUUUCUGUAAAACUAUUGAAAUGGCCGCUGAAGAUGGGAAGAGCUUUGUAAAGAGAGACACUCUCAAAAAAAUAGAAGCAAAGAUUCAAACUUUGUGGAAAGAACAUGACGUUUACAGGGCUGAAUCUCGCGAAAAGCCUCCUAAGCCAGGGGAGAAGUUCUUUGGAAACUUCCCGUUUCCUUACAUGAAUGGCUUUUUGCAUCUUGGACAUGCUUUCUCACUCUCAAAGCUAGAGUUUUCUGCACGUUAUCAUAAACUAAGAGGUGCAAAUGUGCUCUUCCCUUUUGGUUUCCAUGGAACCGGAAUGCCCAUCAAAGCCUCUGCUGAUAAAAUUGCACAAGAGAUCCAACAGUUUGGACACCCGCCUGUCUUUCCCAUCAACGAAGAGGAUCAAGUGAACCAAGAAGAAGUUGAAGAUGCAAAUGCAGGUGCACCUCUAGAAACUAAGUUCAAGGGAAAGAAGUCCAAGGCUGCAUCAAAAUCAAGCGGACAAGCGUACCAGUGGGAAAUCAUGCGUAGUCUUGGCCUUUCUGACAGUGAGAUAUUCAAAUUCUGCGAACCAUCUGAGUGGUUGAACUUCUUCCCUCCAUUGGCAAUGGAAGACCUCAAGGCUUUUGGCUUGGCAUGUGACUGGAGCCGUUCCUUUAUUACUACAGACAGGAACCCGUAUUUUGAUAAGUUUGUGAGGUGGCAGAUGCGGAAAUUGAAAGACAAGGAUAAGAUUGUCAAAGCGAAACGUUACACCAUCUACUCUCCAAUGGACGGGCAGCCAUGUGCAGAUCAUGAUAGGGCAAUUGGCGAAGGAGUUCAGCCCCAAGAAUAUACUAUCAUCAAAAUGGAGGUGGCGAUACCUUUUCCUUCUAAGUUGGGAGUGUUGGAGGGGAGAAAAGUGUUCCUUGCUGCAGCAACAUUGAGACCUGAGACCAUGUAUGGACAAACAAAUGCAUGGGUAUUGCCCAAUGGAAGGUAUGGAGCCUUUGAAGUCAAUGAAACAGAUGUAUUUAUUCUUACGCAGAGAGCAGCACGUAAUCUUGCUUAUCAGGGGUUCUCUAGGAUACCUGAGAAACCUUCUUGCUUGAUUGAACUAACUGGUUAUGAUUUGAUUGGCCUUCCAUUGAAGUCACCACUUGCACGCCAUCAGAUUAUUUAUGCCCUUCCUAUGUUAACCAUCGUAGCAGACAAAGGGACUGGGAUUGUGACUAGUGUACCUGGGGAUGCUCCUGAUGAUUAUAUGGCCCUGCAUGAUUUAAAAUCGAAACCAGCUUUUAGAAACAAAUAUGGCGUGAAGGAUGAAUGGGUUGUGCCCUUUGAGAUUGUACCGAUCAUCAAUAUUCCGGAAUUUGGAGAUAAGGCUGCGGAAAAGGUCUGUGGGGAUCUCAAGAUCAAAAGCCAGAAUGAGAAAGAGAAGCUAGCAGAAGCCAAGAGGUUGACAUACUUGAAAGGGUUUACAGAAGGAACACUGCUCGUGGGAGAAUUUGCAGGAAGGAGAGUCCAGGAGGCAAAAUCGUGGAUAAGGAGCAAACUAAUGGAGGCAGGAAAUGCAAUCAUGUAUAGUGAACCGGAGAAGCACGUAGUGUCACGGUCAGGGGAUGAAUGUGUUGUGGCUCAAACAGAGCAAUGGUACGUCUCUUAUGGUGAAGCUGAAUGGAAAAAAUUGGCUGAGGAAUGCUUGUCGAGCAUGAACUUGUACUCUGACGUGACACGACAUGGAUUUGAACACACGUUAAGUUGGUUGAAUCAGUGGGCUUGUUCACGAUCGUUUGGGCUUGGAACACGUAUUCCCUGGGAUGAAAAACACUUGGUCGAGUCCUUGUCUGAUUCAACCUUUUACAUGGCUUAUUACACCAUUGCUCACUUUUUACACGAUGGAGACAUGUAUGGGGAUUCCAACACAUCUGGGGUUAUACCCUAUUCAACACAUAGGUCUUAAGACAAAUGACCGAUGAGGUAUGGGAUUUUAUCUUUUGUGAUGGGCCCUUUCCAAAAUCAUCUGACAUAUCAUCAUCAAUUCUGAAUAAGAUGAAGCAGGAGUUCGAAUAUUGGUAUCCAUUUGAUCUUCGAGUGUCUGGUAAGGAUCUCAUCCAGAAUCAUUUAACAUUUUGCAUUUACAACCACACGGCAAUUAUGCCCAAGAAGCAUUGGCCUCGUGGGUUUAGAUGUAAUGGGCACCUCAUGCUCAAUUCUAAGAAGAUGUCCAAGUCUACAGGGAAUUUUUUGACAUUGCGGCAGGCAAUAGAGGAAUAUUCUGCUGAUGCCACACGAAUGGCUUUGGCCGAUGCCGGUGAUGGUGUUGAUGAUGCAAACUUUGUAUUUGGCACUGCAAAUACUGCCAUCGGACGACUCACUAAAGAGAUUGCAUGGAUGGAGGAGAAUUUGAGUGCAGACUCUUUGAGAAGAGGUUCUCCUUCUACUUUUGCGGACCAUGUCUUUUUGAAUGAAAUAAAUAUCGCUGUGAAAAGGACUGAGCAGAACUACCACUCUUGCAUGUUCCGUGAAGCCCUUAUCACUGGAUUUUAUGGUCUUCAAGAUGCCAGGGAUUGGUACCAGAAUUCAUGUCGUGCUCAGGACAUGAAUCGAGAUUUGGUGUGGCAUUAUAUGGAUGUAGAGACGCGCAUGGUUGCUCCAAUCUGUCCACACUAUGCUGAAUAUGUGUGGAGGGAGGUUUUGAAGAAGGAUGGAUUUGUAGUAAGCGCAGGCUGGCCGGCAGCUGAUGCUCCGGAUCUAAUCCUCCAAAGUGCCAAUAACUAUUUGAAAAAGUCGAUUGAUGUAAUGAGGAAGAAGCUUAGAAAGCACCAGCCAAAUUCUAAGAAAGCCGGUAAUAAUGGUGCUCCAAUUUCAUCUUCGGUAGAAGGGAAGAAGCUAAUAGGCCUGAUAUAUGUGAGGGAGCAAUUUGAUGAGUGGAAGGCAGAUUGCUUGAGGAUACUCCAGAAUAACUUCAACAUAGAGACUCGUACUUUUGCUCCGGACAGGGAGAUAUUGGAGGCACUGCAGAGUAGUUCUCUUGGACAGGCUAAAGAUUUUAGACAAAUCCAGAAUCUUUGCAUGCCUUUCGUGAAGUCGAAGAAGAAUGAGGCAGUUCAACUUGGGGCUCGGGCCUUAGAUUUGAAGUUACCAUUUGGAGAGAUUGAGGUACUUAAAGAGAACUUAGACCUGAUUAAGAGACAACUGGAUCUUGAAGAGGUAGAAGUUUUGUCUGCUGCCAACCCUGAUGAUCGUGCAAAAGUUGGUCCUCAUGUUAAACAGAUAGAGCAGAAUCCUCCAUUCCCUGGAAGCCCAACUACCAUCUUCUUGACCCUCUAAGGAUCAACUACCCCAUGACCACUGACUGCUCCACAUUUUGAUAAAAAGUCUAAUAGUAGCAAUGAAGUUCGUGAGGAAAUUUUACGGAGAUAAAGGUCUCUCUCUCAGAUAUGAAUCGAAAUUGAUUUGAAAUGCACGUAUGGUUGUGUCAAAUUUUUGUGGAGGAAGAGCUUCGAAGGAGGCAGCAAGCAUUAUUUAGUUUUUUUCAUUGCAAUGUUUGUAAUACUUUUGAGGUUGUGUGUAAACUUCUCAUAUUAAGAUAACUAGUUGUUGGAAUGCUACCCAUAUUCAGUGUGGAAUGGCAUUCUGGUUGAUGAGAUGAGUUUGUAUGCGGAAAAUAUGAAUAAUUUAUAUUCGGA